rnacentral:lncRNA from 1 species
UCUGCUUCUGAUCCUGGAUGAUGUGAAUUUUGAUAUUUGCCUCUGUGUGUCUCCUGGAUGUUGUUGAUGCCAGUCUUGUUGCUGUGACAAGUAGCAACCUUUUUUUUUUCUUUUUUUUUUUUUUAAUUCUGGGUUUUUUUUAUACAAAACUCAACAAUCUUAAUGUCAUGGUGCUAAGGGUUUCCUGGUGCCGAAGGUAUUGCUGUGGUACUGACUAGCACCUGCCCCCAGCCUCAGCAGGGAGCGUUUCCAAGAAGGCCAGCUCCAGGGAGAUUUGGGGUGAGGUCCUUGUACACAUGUAUUUAGAAAGGCUCUGACUCUGGGCAAGGUAACCAUGGCCUGGUGUGUUGUAGGUGUUGAAUGGACUCUCCAAUUCCUACACACUUUGAUGUGGUCAGAGGUGGCUACAGAGGUGGGUAUGAUCCAGUGUCAAAGGGUAGGCUGGGGCUUUGGAGUGGUUGUGUGCAACUGUGGAAGGGAAGGGGGCCAAAGUGCACUUUUCACAACACCUCUGUGGGGUGUGACCAUCCACCCUAGCCUCUCAGGUACUUGGCACUUGUAGGGAGAAGUAGGACCUGGGUUUGCUGGGGGCUGAGUUUUCCAGGACGAACCAGAAAGCCCAUAUACAGCCUUGCUAUGGGACUGUUCUGGGUAACUUGAUGUUAGCACUUUAACUCAGUCUUUGAGGUCAGUUUUGGGGCAGCUGUCAAAAGCUGCAGUUGGAUAGGUACCAGCCUGUGGUGACUGGUAAGUAGUGGCAAACUAGACUGUAAAGCUCUUCCAUGGUGGCAGGGCUCAUCGGUCUGCCCACCUCCCUACUAUGGCCCAAAGGUAACCACCAGCCUACACAGAUCCUCAGUAAGAGGGACCAUCAUGGCAGAGCUACAGAAGGUGGGUGGGCAUAGACUUAGAGGGCCAAACCAACCCUGGGUCCUUGGCAAAAUGCAAAAGUCAGGGUCUCUACAGAUCUACCUCUGGCUCAGCGCUUGCCCUGCCCUAAAAAAACAGAAGUGCCAAGGGCAGACAUUUCAUGCAGAACCAGGGUGCACUUUAUGUUCCUGCACAGGCAGAUGAUGGUGCCUCCUGGAGGCUUUGGGAUCUUCCUGUCCCUAUGGUGGUUCUGAAGGGAGAGCUGUUCCCCUGUUGGGUGAAACCCAGGUCCCUUGCCCUGGAGACCUGGUUUCCCAGGUCACCCCACAUACCUGACUGCAGCGCCUCCUAAACUUUGGGUUCCUUGGUUUGGUUAUAAUGCAGUUCUCAUUACACAAGUGCAUUUCU